rnacentral:lncRNA from 1 species
GUGGAUGUUCACAGAAAGGGCUUCAGGAAGUUCUGAAAACCAUGGAGUAAUCUAGAAAAUACUAUACCAACAGCCUGUUUUAUAGAAUCCUGUGCAAUGGCCUGGGUCUCAGCUGUGGAGGAACUUUCAGAAGAGGACCACCAACUUAAAUACAAUUGAUCUUCGUCCCCACCUGUACAAAUAAGUGUCUCAGCUAUCGGGGUCUGCCGGUAGCUGACAAGGUAUAAAGAUAUGCUUCUCUUUUUCAUUCUUGUGAAGUUAGGGGUAGUGCCCAUUUAA